UACGUAGGGGGCAAGCGUUAUCCGGAUUUACUGGGUGUAAAGGGAGCGUAGACGGUAUGGCAAGUCUGAUGUGAAAGGCCAGGGCUCAACCCUGGGACUGCAUUGGAAACUGUCGAACUAGAGUGUCGGAGAGGCAAGUGGAAUUCCUAGUGUAGCGGUGAAAUGCGUAGAUAUUAGGAGGAACACCAGUGGCGAAGGCGGCUUGCUGGACGAUGACUGACGUUGAGGCUCGAAAGCGUGGGGAGCAAACAGG
rnacentral:rRNA from 1 species